AAAGCAACAGCAGAAAAUUCGAAGAGAAGCCUUGAAAACACUGCAUUGAAAUCUGAAGUGGGAGAACUCAGGCACAUCUAGAGAUAGUAGAAAAUGUGGCAGGACACCUGAGUGGCUAAUUGACAUUGACAGAGAGGUUGUGGAGAGGCAUCUGGCUGCACUGGAUGAAUACAAAUCCCCUGGGCCGGAUGGGGUGCACCCAAGAGUGCUGAAAGAACUUUCUAGAGAACUUGCAGAACCCCUGCCCAUCAUCUUCAAGGCCUCCUGGAAGACUGGGGAUGUGCCACAAGAUUGGAGAAGAGUGAAUGUUAUCCCAAUCUUUAAGAAAGGGAAGAAGGAUGACACGGGAAACUACAGGCUGGUGCCAUGUCGGGCCACAGGAGGAAGAGGAUCCUGAUUUAUGGCCACAGCAUGGUGUUCUGGGCUGCCUAUCAAGCCAGGAGAACACCGAUUGGAUCACAGUUGGGUUUGAGAGCUGUGACCACAGUUGGGUUUGAGAGCAUGGCCUUAGAUGGCCGGGCCUACUGCCUCUCUUGUUUCGGGGAAGGACGGGUCCUCCCCCACACAUUUUGGUCAUUCACCUGGGAGGUAAUGACCUGGGGCUGAUGCAGGGUAAGGCCGUGUCAAUGCAGGUAGCUGAAGACCUUGGGAUUAUAAGCAGCCGAUGGCCGGGCAUGCUUAUAUUUUGGUUACAGACACUAUAGCAGCGGGUCUGGCGGGAGGCCUUAGUUCCUAGGGCAAUCGAGGGGGCCCAGUGCAAGGGUAAUCACGCCAUUAAAAAAUCCUUGGGGAAUGGCUUGGGUAUUUACGUACCACACCCCAGAAUUAGGGCCGAAUUUGCCCACCUCUACCGAGGCGACGGUGUACACCUGUCGACAGAGGGCAAUGACAUCUUUUAGGAUGAGCUGCGGCAAGGGCUUCAUUUGGCUUUAAGCCGUAUGUGGGGCAUGAGGGUCUAAGCAGAGGCUUGAUCCUUGCGGUGGCAGGAGAGUUUUGGGUAUAGGGUGCGGGCCGGUGAGCACCCAGUGGCGCUUCCCCAUGGGUGAGGAACAGGGUCUGCCUUCAGUGUGGUAUGCUUGUGGUGGCUACCCUUGCACAGGCAGACGCCUGCUGGGGAUCCCCAAGUACAAGGCCUUCCUUCAUGCUAGAUGGCUGGGGUGUUAGGUGCUUGAUGGGGGGAUCCCUUGCCUGGCUGGCUGGGUUGCAGCCAUUCAAGGGAUGGCCUACACCUGGGGCUUUGGGGCUCGCCCAGGCAGGUCAAGGCGGAGGUCUGGAGUUGAUCCCAUGGCUUGACCUGUACCACUUAGUUGGCCCUUGCCUUGUUUAUGUUAAUGGUCAUUUUAAUAAAUAGCCCUUUAAUACCAAGCCUGUGUCUGUCUCUUCAUUCUGACUGGGGUUGCAAUUUGGCUUUCCCAGCCGCAGCAAAGCUGCUUAGGCUGGGAGCCGGCUUUGCAGCCCUGCCCGGAGGAAGCUGACAGGCUCCCUUCCUGGGCAUCCAGGGCUUUGGCUGGGGGAGGAGCCAAGAGCUGUUUGCAGGCGGCUCCGCUUCCCCAGCGUCAGUUUCCUCAUGUGCUUGGCCCACCCACUUCACCCUGUUUUAGUGCAGGAUUAGCUGGCUGCUGUGUCAGAGCCAGGUAGGAUUUUUUUCCCUCUUUGCCCUGAUUGGCUUUGGGAGAAGGGGUUUUUUGCCUACCUCGCACUAAUAGCAGUGUUCUGGGGUAUUGUUUGGGUGGUGCUGUUUGAUCUGUCAUUGACAGGAGAGUUUUGGGUAUAAGGUGUGGGCCAGUGAGCACCCAGUGGCGCUUCCCCAUGGGUGGGGAACAGGGUCUGCCAUCAGUGUGGUAUGCUUGUGGCAGCUACCAUUGCACAGGCAGACGCCUGCUGGGGAUCCCCAACUACAAGGCCUUCCUUCAUGCUAGACGGCUAGGGUGUUAGGUGCUUGAUGAGGGGAUCCCUUGCCUGGCUGGCUGGGUUGCAGCCAUUCAAGGGAUGGCCUACACCCGGGGCUUUGGGGCUCACCGAGGCAGGUCAAGGUGGAGGUCCGGAGUUGAUCCCGUGGCUUGACCUGUACCGCUUAGUUGGGCCUUGCCUUGUUUAUGUUAAUGGUCAUUUUAAUAAACGGCCUUUU